CGUGGGCCGGGCACCGGUGGCCUGUUCUGCUGCUGCUCAAUGCUGGACAUCGCUGCAACACACACGCUUGGUGCUAGUCGCAGAGCUUCUAAGCGGUAGUGCAGUGGUGAACACCGACUGCCACACAGAGUCAGAACUUAAGUAUACGGCAAGAUUGAGGGAGUGUACCUGCACAUCAGGACAACACUGCUCCCUUCAUUAAGUUGACAUGAGAAUCGCAAAUCUUCAAGGCGCUGAUACUUUGUAAAAUAUGAUUCAUGAAUGGUCAAUUUCAUCUGCCAUAAUGACUGUGCUGAGUAUGGUACGCUGCGGAUUGAUGCUGUGGACAAUUCUGAAAGUGGCCGGGACAAGCCAAAGCAGCGAGGGAAAGGUACCCGUGGCAGGGACCCUUGAGUCACCGCCGAGUGUUGAGGACGACACCAACAACUUUUACCUUCCUUCCAGCCAGCAGAACACAGGUAGUUUACCGGCGUGGGCAGUGUCGGCUGUUGCAUCUCUCAGCACCCACUCUCUCACUGACUUACCCUGGUGGACGUCUCUUACUGCCACUACUGCCAUACGUCUGGACGAGGGGCGCCGCGUCCCGGACUCCAGUCCCUCACUGCCCCAAAAUCUUGUUUCACGAAGCUCGCCUUCAAGCGUUUCUGUCACCAGCCCACCUCACGUCCUACCGAUGCCCCUAAAGCCGCGCCACAAGCCAUCUUCGCCAGACCUCGCCAAAGACUCCAAAUUGCUGCAGGAUUUACACUCUUCUCACCCCCAUCUUUUAUUUGGAAACAAAAACAAAGACGAAAAGAAAAACUACAAUAACAAAGAAAACAAACUUCAAAAUGGACAAAUGAAAAAUGAAACAGAUCUUUCAGAAAGACGAAAGCGAGCCAGUGUCGGGACAUACUACGACAUUCCAGUGAGUGUCGUCAGCUACAGUCCCACCAGCCACUUCUUCAUGCACGAAUUACUCCACCCUCAGCCAACGCUCGGCCAAAAGUCAGUCCUUGAUUUACCUCAAUAUUUCAAAAGAAAUCUAGAAAUUCAAUCUUCGUCCUCUGCCCCCAUAGUUUUUCCAGGAGCAACCACAGCUGCCAUGACCACAACGACGUCCUCACCUCUUAUCGUCUUCCCCACUAAAUCUACCUUCCCGUCAACAAUGUCUCAUAAUGUCACUCUGCCUAUCACCACCAGCAAUCCAGGGCUACAGGAACAAGGCCUAUCCUCCACGUCGCCGACCCCGCCCGAUCCUUUCGUGACGGACAACCGAGUGAUCAUUGUGGCACCGUGCAGAGGGUUUUGUAAAAUAUCAGUAGGUAGAGUGUGUGUUACAGAUUUCAAUUGUCUUGCGCGACAUCCAGGGAAGUGAUCGUCGAAAAGGAGCAAAGAUGACAUGUGCAUUACAUAUAAGAAGAAAAGGUGUGGAAAUUCGGUGACUGCCAGAAUCUACAUAGACACUAAUAUUUUUUCAUUACCCAUUAUAUUGAGGAAUAGGUUGUAAUGUCCAAAAUUACGUGAUUGGAGACAGAGAGAGAGAGAGAGAGAGAGAGAGAGAGAGAGAGAGAGAGAGAGAGAGAGAGAGAGAGAGAAAGAAAGAAAGUGUGUGUCAGGGAAAGUAGUAACCGCUGGAGAAACUCGCACACUGGGCACUGGCAGCGAAGCAGCGGUGAACACAUUGCCACACAUCACUGGAACCCCUCUCCUACAUCGGGAUUUGUGGAAUACACUUGCACGUUAGGUUAGGGAACACACUAUAUUUACAUUUAAAGUAGUGUGUGUGUGUGUGUGUGUGUGUGUGUGUGUGUGUGUGUGUGUGUGUGUGUGUGUGUGUGUGUGUGUGUGUGUGUGUGCAAUAGUAAUAGUAAUAAUAAUAAUGAUGAUAAUGAUAAUAUCAGGAGUAUUCGGUUUGUUUGUUGGCAGCCUUAUCUUCAGAAAACUCACGUGUUACAAGUUAACUUGCAUAUAUCAUAUCUAAAGUAUGCAUUAACCUUAACGAAGUUUCUUGCACAGAGAUAACAUGCCUGCCACUUGACGCCGACCGACGUGGAAAGCCAGCCAUUGUAUUAUCAGGCCAUCCUGAAUAUUUUUUCAAGAACUUGUUUCUCAAACGUCUCCUUACCUCCCACCACCCACCCUCGUAAGCAGCGGGUCACAGCUCCUGAUUUACACCAUGUGCAGUACCUUAUCACAGCUAGAUGAACACGGGCUACACAGCAAAGAAGUCGAGCCAGAGACUUACCCUUGGAAUCGAACUGUGGACCUUUUGAUUGUGAAUCAGAAGAGGUGUCACAGCUUAGAAGGUCAAGGAAAAAGAAAGUGGACCUUGCGUGGUUGUAAGAAUUGGAGGUAUUUUACGGGCGUGGGCAGUGUCGGCUGUCGCUCCUCUCAGCACACACUCUCUCACUGGCUUACCCUGGUGGACGUCUCUUACUGCCACGCCUGCCACACGUCUGGACGAGGGACGCCACGUCCUGGACUCCAGUCUCUCGGUGCACAAAUAUUUUGCUUCAGGAAACUCGCUUCCCAGCAUCUCCGCCACCAGCACACCUCACGUCCUGCCGCUGCCCCUCAAGCCUCGCCACAAGCUAUCCUCGCCAGGCCUCGCCAAAGAUUCCAACUUGCUGCAGACUUUACACUCUUCCCACUCUACCCAUCUUUUAUUUGGAAACAAAAACAAAGACGAAAAGAAAAGCUACAGUAACAAAGAAAAUAUACUUCAAAAUGGACAAAUGAAAAAUGAAACUGAUCUUUCAGAAAGACAAAAGAGAGCCAGUGUCGGGACAUACGACAUUCCAGUGAGAGUCGUCAGCUACAGUCCCACCAGCCACUUCUUCAUGCACGAAUUACUCCACCCUCAGCCAACGCUCGGCCAAAAGUCAGUCCUUGAAUCACCCGAUGAUAUCACACCAAAUAUCCAUGUUCCAUCUUCGUCCUCUUCUGGUAUAGUCUUUCGGGGAUCCACAAAAGAGGUUAUAACUUCUACUGCCCCAACCCCUAACACAAUCAUCACCAUAACACCUCUGCCCUCUCCAGGUCCUGAAAUUAUCCCCGCAGUUCCAUGCCGACGGUGUUAUAUCCCUGUAGGCAGAGAUUGUGUUCCGAACAUUAAUUGCAAUAACAGGUAUCCAUAAUAGCAUAAGAGCAUUUAAAAUCUGGGAAGCUGCAUUAAACCAUCUAACUUACUGAUGACAGUCAUUGUAUAAAUCAUGCUUACCGAUUUCCAUAUAUCCUCACCCAUAAAUUUCUUUAAUAUUCUUUUUAAAACUAAUGCCACUAAUAACGGUUUACUGAACAUAGAAGAAGAGCAGAAUAAAAACUCCGGUGUACUGAAAUUAAAAGGAUUGGGCUCCUCACUGAAUACCAAAAUGUUCUUUAUAGCGAAAGACGGAUUAGAUAAGCUGAUUUUUUUCUGUAACACAAACUUCAUGUUAGAACUCUGUUGCAUAUGUUCUGAAUGUAACACUCGUAUUUUAGAGUAGUUUAUAUAUUACACGGGCCAGGGAAGAAAACAGAAUUUUUCCCAAUGGAAUGGAAAAAAAAAUGUGUGGAAGUUGAUAGCAUACAUUAUUUGCAAUAUCCCAAAAUGUUGACGGCUACUUCUGAGUUGCCAAAAUUUUCUCUCCACCGAGCCUGUUGUCUUGCUGCCUCAUGCAUGCACCCUUGUUUCUCUGAACAUUCCAUUUACAGGCCUCUUCCAUUUAUUUCUCUCUCUCU